rfam:Salmo salar isolate Sally breed double haploid chromosome ssa29, whole genome shotgun sequence.
UGCACUCACUACUGUAUGUCUCUCUGGAUAAGAGAGUCUGCUAAAUGACUCAAU